UUGACGGUACCUACCCAGGAAGCCACGGCUAACUACGUGCCAGCAGCCGCGGUAAUACGUAGGUGGCAAGCGUUAUCCGGAAUUAUUGGGCGUAAAGCGCGCGCAGGUGGUUUCUUAAGUCUGAUGUGAAAGCCCACGGCUCAACCGUGGAGGGUCAUUGGAAACUGGGAGACUUGAGUGCAGAAGAGGAAAGUGGAAUUCCAUGUGUAGCGGUGAAAUGCGUAGAGAUAUGGAGGAACACCAGUGGCGAAGGCGGCUUUCUGGACUGUAACUGACACUGAGGCUCGAAGGCGUGGGGAGCAAACAGGAUUAGAUACCCUGGUAGUCCACGCCGUAAACGAUGAGUGCUAAGUGUUAGAGGGUUUCCGCCCUUUAGUGCUGAAGUUAACGCAUUAAGCACUCCGCCUGGGGAGUACGGCCGCAAGGCUGAAACUCAAAGGAAUUGACGGA
rnacentral:rRNA from 1 species